rnacentral:rRNA from 1 species
AGGGAAUAGAUACCCCGGGUAGUCCUGGCAGUAAACGGUGCACGUUUGGUGUGGGCGCAAUCGACCGCGUCCGCGCCGGAGCUAAACGCGUUAAACGUGCCGCCUGGGAAGUACGGUCGCAAGAUUAAAACUCAAAGAAAUUGACGGGGACCCGCACAAGCGGUGGAGUAUGUGGCUUAAUUCGAUGCAACGCGAAGAACCUUACCUGGUCUUGACAUGCAUUGUGUCUCCGGUGAAAGCCGGAUAGGGUAGCAAUACCCGCUUUGCACAGGUGCUGCAUGGCUGUCGUCAGCUCGUGUCGUGAGAUGUUGGGUUAAGUCCCGCAACGAGCGCAACCCCGUGUGAUUUGUUGCCACCGGCUUAUGCCGAGCACUCGAAUCAGACUGCCUCGAUCAACGAGGAGGAAGGUGGGGAUGACGUCAAGUCCGUAUGGCCCUUACGACCAGGGCUGCACACGUACUACAAUGCCCAGUACAAUGUGAA